CCCUUAGAUGUUCUGGGCGGCCCGCGCACUACAUUGGCACUGGCAACAAGAUCCUAGAUCUGGUAUUUCGGGGUAUUCUACCAACUGGUGUCGUGACUGGGAUUAACCCCUGCAAUUAUUGGUUAUGAACGAGGAAUUCCUUGUAAUCACGGUUUAUCAACCCGUGUUGAGUGCGUCCCUGCCCUUUGUACACACCGCCCGUCGCUCCUACCGAUGAAUCGUCCGGUGAAGUUCAUGGAGUCGCGGCUGCUCCAGCUGUUUUCGAAGUGAAAUGGACCUCAUGAUUUAGAGGAAGGAGAANUCGUAGCA
rnacentral:rRNA from 1 species